ACACGUGUCUCCAAUCAUCCAUUCAGACUCCCUUUGCUUCAAUCAAACUUCUCAUGAACCACACGUGUCUCCAUCUUGUUCACAACCUCUCCUCCAUCUCAUUUUCAACCUUAUCAGCUUAUUUUUCCAUAAUCGUUUUCAACCUUAUUAGUCGCCACCAUUAUUCUCCAAUUGCUAGGUUUACGACACAAUCAUUCAUCACCAUUUCCAUUUCAUUUUUGGUAAUCCAGUAGCUGGAAAUGGCGACUCAAAAUAUUCAUGGUUCUUUGUAACCAUGUGGAUAUUAUAGUUUCUUUGCAUGCUUUUUAGGAGGAUCUUGGAAAUCUAGAAGAAAGAGAAAGACUGGCAGCAAGCAGGGGAAAGGCUGGAGAAGAGGUUCGGAGAAAAGCAGAAGCUUAAGCAAAAAGAAAGAGGUGGCAUGGAAAUCCCUUGGAAAAGUUAGAAUUGUACAUGAAGGUAGAUGUCGAAGAAGAGGAGGAAGAAUUUCCUCAGUGUUGUGGAGCCAUCGGAAGAUGUCGAAGAAGAAGAAAUUGAUUGAUGUUGCUCCAGCUAAUUGUUGAAUCAUCUAACAUAGAUAUAUGAAUAGUGUUUAUGAGCAAUAAUUAUUGGAUUUAGUGAUGCUGCUAUCGUUGGGUGUUGGCUCCACGUUCUAGGAAGUUUGAGAUCGGGAUAGUAAAAACUUAGAAAAGGGCAUUAAGCUUAGAUAUGGAUUUUCUUUGUUUUAAUUAUAUUCGGUUUUCACUUGGAAAAUGGUUUUUGAACGUGUCGAAUAGCUUGCGUGAGGUCCCCUUUUAUCGAAGGGCUUUGAUAUUUGGAUAAUGUUUUGCCUAAUUUUGUGAACUCAUUAGUUUCAUCAAUUCAUACUCUUCUAUAAUUUAAUUUGUUUCUUUGAUGUGUGUGAUAUGUACUUGAUGUUCUUUGGUGGA